CCCUUAGAUGUUCUGGGCUGCACGCGCGCUACACUGAUGCAUUCAACGAGUCUAAAACCUGCUCUGAUAGGGGUGGGUAAUCUUUUGAAUGUGCAUCGUGAUUGGGAUAGAUGAUUGCAAUUUUUCAUCUUCUUCGAGGAAUGCCUAGUAAACGCAAGUCAUCAGCUUGCAUUGAUUACGUCCCUGCCCUUUGUACACACCGCCCGUCGCUCCUACCGAUUGAAUGAUCCGAUGAAUAUCAUGGAUUGAGGAUGCAAGCAGGUUCGCCUGUCUUCAUCUUCGAGAAGUGAAGUAAAUCUUAUCAUUUAGAGGAAGGAGAAGUCGUAACA
rnacentral:rRNA from 1 species